rnacentral:rRNA from 1 species
UAGGGAAUCUUCGGCAAUGGACGAAAGUCUGACCGAGCAACGCCGCGUGAGUGAAGAAGGUUUUCGGAUCGUAAAACUCUGUUGUUAGAGAAGAACAAGGACGUUAGUAACUGAACGUCCCCUGACGGUAUCUAACCAGAAAGCCACGGCUAACUACGUGCCAGCAGCCGCGGUAAUACGUAGGUGGCAAGCGUUGUCCGGAUUUAUUGGGCGUAAAGCGAGCGCAGGCGGUUUCUUAAGUCUGAUGUGAAAGCCCCCGGCUCAACCGGGGAGGGUCAUUGGAAACUGGGAGACUUGAGUGCAGAAGAGGAGAGUGGAAUUCCAUGUGUAGCGGUGAAAUUCGUAGAUAUAUGGAGGAACACCAGUGGCGAAGGCGGCUCUCUGGUCUGUAACUGACGCUGAGGCUCGAAAGCGUGGGGAGCAAACAGG